ACUCACCUGCAAUGUACGUAGCACCAACUUUGUUUCGAACCGUAAUGUUACUACGGGAUUCCAAUAUUUCGUUUACGACGCUAAGCCUCGACCGAGUGGAAAGCGAACUAGACUGUGCGGAAACCCACCUGCGAGAGCGGGUUCUAGAAACAGACUGGUGAUACGGCAUAAGCGGGGCUCUA
rnacentral:other from 1 species